CUUUAAACAAAAGGAAAAAAUAAAAUUUGCACAUCUCAUUAUUUUGUACGAACAAAAUCGUUUUCUCUCUCUCUGCUUCUGUCUCUCUCACGCGACAUUGGAAAAAAAAAAUUGCUCGAUCAUUGAUAAUCCGAUGAGUUGACGCCGGUGAUUGUUUGUCUUUUGAUGUGUUAUCUGAGGCUUCCAACGCCGGAUUCAUCAAGGCAACAGGUGCUUCACAUCGGCGGAAGUUGGCCGAAAUCGGAAAAUAGCAAAUCGGAUUCGAAGAGUAAUCGCCGACGCCUUCCCCAAGUUAGGUGCAAUUUGAGUAGAGUAUUCUGCAUUUCUUUUGUGAAGUGCAUUUUCGACUCUCAUGCUCUAUGACCAUGGAGUUCCAAUGAAGUAUCAAGGACCGAGGAAAGCAGAUUUGCUUGUCCGUUACUUAAAGAAGUUUGUUGAUCCAGAUGUUGCUUGCAUUAUGUGUUAUGUUAUAGACAUGGAACAUAGAAUGGUUCUUUUGUUUUAAUAGGACUUGAACGAAACGGAUGACCAUAUAUUGAAUGAUUGUACAUUUUGUUUCAAACAAAACUAAAUGUUCAUCUUGUUUACAAAGACACAAAGAAUACUUCUUAUUGUUUUUACAAUAUAUAAUGAAUGCUCUUGUUUAAGUUAUAAAA
rnacentral:sRNA from 1 species